CCUACUCCUAUCCUAUCUAAAUAUGUUUGGGCUUCCCGUAAGGCCCAUAUUCUCAAUGCCAUCGUUUCCUCCCCUUUCUUCUUCUUCUUCUUCUUCUUCUUCUUCUUCUUCUUCACCAAUCCUCAGUACAGUUCUCUGAUUCUCUCAUAGCUUCUUCCUUCGUUUCCUGCAAUGUCCUCACAGUCGUUUCAGCUAUUUCAUCCAUUAACUACACUGCGAAUCUCGAUAUCAGUCGGCAAUCCAUGAAAUUGUCUGACUCCAAAGCUUAAGGAAGGAGGAACAAGUACCUCGAGAUGAUGUAUUAUCAAUUGCAGUGAAGUUUAAGAGGCAUCCUUACAGUUUUAUGUGGGUGGUCACUGUAACUCAGCUGGACGAGAAGCGAGUUAAUGUGGGAGGCUGCGGUAUCCAGCAAGGUAGCUAUGAACAUCAAGAAAGGAGUAUAUGCUUCUCUUGAAAGCGCCUUUGAGCCUCUACACCUCUUAGAAUUUGUGAAGGCGACAAAGGCGUGGAAUGGAGAGAAAGAUAAAAUCUCACUUAUAGAAUUCGAUGGAGGUUAUGAUGCUGUUGGUUCUAAGAUGGAGUUGUGAAGAAUCCAAUGGUCUUAACCUUAUUUUGCUACUUAUGAGAUAUAAACCGUUGAAUGUUACACCAUUGCAUAGUUUUCCAAAACAAAGUAAGAGCAUUUCAGGAACAUGUCUGCAUUUGGGAUUUAGUUAGACACAUAAGUGGGAGUCCUGUACUGCAGUAAUUUUACAGCUAAUCUCUAACCUUUGUCA